AGCCGGAACCUGGGAGCUGAGCACCGCCGAAUCUGGUCAGGCCUUGACGGGAGCAGCCAUAAGGCCGGGGCAGGCGUCCCAGGAGCUCUGGCUGUG
rnacentral:SRP_RNA from 1 species